AUGUCAUGGGAACGCAUGACGAUGCCGAAGAGAGCGGGUGGAAUAGGUUUUAUGGACAUGCACCUAUUUAACAUUGCUCUACUUGCCAAACAAAGCUGGAGGCUGGUCCAGAACCCAAAUAGUCUUUGUGCUAGGGUACUCAAAUCAAAAUACUACCCGAAUGGCAACCUUUUGGACACUGUGUUUGCGUCUGAUGCAUCACCUGUGUGGAAGGGAAUCAAGGCUGGUUUAGAACUCCUUAAAAAGGGUAUUAUUUGGCGAGUGGGAGAUGGUAGGAGUAUCCAAAUCAAACGAGACCAGUGGAUUCCAAGAGAUGAGGGGCUGAAAACAGCUACAUUCAUAAGGAGGUCGAGGUUAAGAUGGGUAAACCAACUCAUGAGCUCAGAUAGGAAAGAAUGGAACGAGCCACUAGUAAGGCAAAUUUUUCACUCCUUUGAUGCGGACGAGAUUUGCAAAAUCCCCAUUCCGAGGGUGGAUGCCACGGACUGCAUCGCGUGGCAUUAUGAAAAGAGUGGCAAUUUUUCAGUCAGGAGUGCAUACAAACUUGUGGCUGCCAUCGAAGGUCAUACAAACUUGGCUCCCUCCAGCUCGUCUAGCGACAGCAAUGACCGCGGCAUAUGGGACUUGAUCUGGAAGGCGAAAGUACCCCCCAAAUUCAGGAUUUUUGGUUGGAGGGUAGCAACUAAUACGCUGGCAACCCAGCACAAUAAGUUCAGACGAACCAUCAUUCAGGAUGAUACCUGCAUCAUUUGUGAUACAGCAGCAGAGGACGAGCAUCACGCGGUGAUUAACUGUACUAAAAGUAGAGCUCUGAGGCAGGCCAUGAGGGAAGGUUGGGAUCUCCCUCCAGAGAAAAGCUUCCGCUACACUGGUCGCGACUGGUUACAGAUUCUUCUGGACACGGUGUGA
rnacentral:rRNA from 1 species